CUGUUCCUCUCUUCCUCGAUUUCUCCCUUUCACAUGCUUGCCCUUGUCUUUUUCUGUAUCUUGUUGACCUUCCUUUGGUCUUUAAUGCUUCUUAAACACUUUGUUGUACCAUCAUCUCUAUCUGACCCUCUUGUUUUUGCAACAGGGGUGUUAUUGUCUACACCCUCUCCUCUCCUCCACCUUCUCCCUCUCAACCCUAAGGAGCCUAGCUUUGUUGUCACAUAAGUGCCACCACUGUCCCCAAGUGGUGAACAGACAGAACUGCAGCCCUCUUUGCCAAAACACUCAUAAACACAGUCACAGUGUUUUGAAGCACUGUGGUUGACAGAGACUGGAGACUUUAUCAUAUGGUUUGAGAUUACGAAAAAAAACGGAAGAUACAUUUUUCUAAUCUGUGUUUCUUUACUCUUUCACCCACAGACUGUCCCUGCACAAAUCUAGCUCUGAAGAAGGAUCUGGGGGUAAAUGGGACAACAAGAAGAAGAACAAAUCUUUUUGGCAGAACUUCCGCAAGUCUCAGCACAAACCAGUCAUGAGACAGACAUCCAAAGGAGAAGACAUAGGCUAUGUGGCUAGUGAGAUCACCAUGAGUGAUGAGGAGCGGAUCCAACUAAUGAUGAUGGUGAAAGAGAAGAUGAUCACUGUCGAAGAAGCUCUCGCCCGGGUAGGAAGCGCCACUGACUUCCUGCCUCACGUUACACCCCCACCCCCCCACCCUCACUCGACCCCUUCCCUUAGAAGUGCCUAUAUCCCCUCACCUCCCCCUGGAUUCAAGCCUUCCCUCCCUUCUGCUCCAUAUUCCCGGCUUACUAAAACGACUCACUCUUACUAACAUGUACGAGGCCCCACAUUUUAACCUUGCAUUGUCCUCUUUACACACA